CCAGCCAUGUGCUUUCCGAGCUAACAGAGGUUUCCGGAUGCCAAUGGCCUUUCUUCAGUGAAGGUGUCAACAAAGAAGUGGUACUAUUUCAAAUAAUGGGCUGCUUUAGGAUUUUCCAUGAUUUACUUCUUGUGUAUAUGCGAAGAUGAUAUACGUGGACCCUUCCAGAGAAGUCCAUCUUUUCCUAUCUGUGACUUGAGCUGUGACAAGCAGACAAAACCAUAAAUGGUAGAAUGUCCUGGUGAGACGUGGCUGAGUGGAAACUCGGAUUCAGAAUGGGAAAGGCAGCCACUAAGUUAACCCCCCAUAGCUCCCACCUCCUGGUGUUCAGACCCGGUUUUUCCUCCUCCCCUGGAGUGUAGACUGGACCAGGACUGGCUUCUAAUGCGUAAAAUAUGGCAACAUGACAGGAUGUCACUUCUGAGACGAGGUUAUAAAAAGACUGUGGCUUCCACCUCAGACUCUCCAUGACUCUCUGUUGCCCUCUUGGUUUGCUCAUCCCGGGGGAAGCCAGCUGCUGCAGUGAAGCAGCCCGUGGAGAGGCUGACUCGGCAAGACACCAAGCCCUGCCAGCAGUCACGUGCGUGAGCUUGGAGGACAGCCAUGCCUGCAGUGCCCCGAGUUGAGCCUUUAGUUGAGACCCAGCCCUCGCCCGCACUUGACUGCAAGCUCACGAGAAACCUUGAGCCAGAGACACCUGGCUAAGCUGCGCUGGAUUCCUGACCCACAGAAACUGUGCUGUGAGGAUUGCACCCAGCAAAGCUGGUAAAGCCCUCUCUGUGUGGUAGGUGUGCACUAAAUCAGGAGAUGGCGAGCCCCCAAACCCUCUGUGCUGGAUUGGAUAUAUUAUGUCCUGCCAAAAGCCAUAUCCUUUAAUGCAGUCUUGUGGGGGCAGGUGUA